GAAAUGCGAUAAGUAAUGUGAAUUGCAGAAUUCAGUGAAUCAUCGAAUCUUUGAACGCACAUUGCGCCCCCUGGUAUUCCGGGGGGCAUGCCUGUCCGAGCGUCAUUACAACCCUCAAGCCCAGCUUGGUGUUGGGCCCCGCCGCCUGGCGGGCCCUAAAGUCAGUGGCGGUGCCGUCCGGCUCCGAGCGUAGUAACUCUUCUCGCUCUGGAGGCCCGGGCGCGUGCCCGCCAGCAACCCCCCAUUUUUUUCAGGUUGACCUCGGAUCAGGUAGGGGUACCCGCUGAACUUAA
rnacentral:misc_RNA from 1 species